rnacentral:rRNA from 1 species
UACAGAGGGUGCGAGCGUUGUCCGGAAUCACUGGGCGUAAAGGGCGCGUAGGCGGUCUCUUAAGCGUGUGGUGAAAGCCCGGGGCUCAACUCCGGGUCGGCCGUGCGAACUGGGAGACUGGAGCUUGUCAGAGGCAGGCGGAAUUCCGGGUGUAGCGGUGGAAUGCGUAGAGAUCCGGAAGAACACCGGUGGCGAAGGCGGCCUGCUGGGACAGUGCUGACGCUGAGGCGCGACAGCGUGGGGAGCAAACAGG